AACAGGGGUCAUUUUCAGUAGUGGUGUGCGAUACUGCAAUAUUUGGUAUCGAUCCGAUACCAAGUAAAUACAGGGCCAGUAUCGCCGAUACCGAUAUCAAUACGAUACCGAUACGAUACCGAUACCGAUACUUUUUAAUAAUUAAGGUGGAUGCAUCA